rnacentral:rRNA from 1 species
CAGCCGCCGCGGUAAUACAGAGGGUGCGAGCGUUAAUCGGAAUUACUGGGCGUAAAGCGCGCGUAGACGGUUUGGUAAGUCAGAUGUGAAAUCCCUGGGCUCAACCUGGGAACUGCAUUUGAUACUGCCUGGCUAGAGUAUCGAAGAGGGAAGUGGAAUUUCCGGUGUAGCGGUGAAAUGCGUAGAUAUCGGAAGGAACACCAGUGGCGAAAGCGACUUCCUGGUCGGAUACUGACGUUCAUGUGCGAAAGCGUGGGGAGCAAACAGGAUUAGAUACCCCCGUAGUCCCUGUCUCUUAUAA